rnacentral:tRNA from 1 species
GCGGGUGUCGUAUAGUGACUAAUAUGCUAGCCUUCCAAGCUUGAGACGCGAGUUUGAUUCUCGCCACCCGCACCA